rnacentral:lncRNA from 1 species
UGCAGUUCCGGUGAAGGCGCCGCAGUUCCGGUGGAAUGUCUUACAGGCAGAAAUCAACUCUGCCCAAGGAGGAGGUGAUGGCUCUGGAGAACAUUCUUUAUUGAUGGAACAGCCUCUUUUUCAUGUGCAAGAGUGACAUCCACCAAAGCAUUCAGCAGAAGCCCUUCUCUGGACCCUGAGUUAUAUCCUGUGGAAUCAUCUUUAAGAACAAGAGUGCUGAGUUGUGUGAUGACGGGUGUGGUCAGGUCCCACUUGCUGUUCCUCAGGAGAUGAUCCUCCAAGAAACGUGUGCGCCGACAGCAUGUACCCAGGCGAAUUUACAGCAUUGUGGAUAUGGCAUAUGGAUGGAUUCCCCAACAUUCUUUAUGAGCUGAUUUUUUUUUUUUUACUUUUACAUUUUUCUGAUGUAUGUGUGUAGUUCAUAAUAAAAAAGUUUAAAUUAUUUAAAGUAUUUCUAUCUUGUUGCUCACCAAUAAUUGAAGCUCAGAAUGUUGGGAAAUGUGAAAAAGCACUUUUUUCCCUCUAUGUCAAAGUUGGGGAACAGGUCCUAAACUUAGAAACAGAUUUCCA